rnacentral:rRNA from 1 species
UACAGAGGGUGCGAGCGUUAAUCGGAAUUACUGGGCGUAAAGGGUGUGUAGGUGGUUGUGUAAGUUAGAUGUGAAAUCCCUGGGCUCAACCUGGGAACUGCGUUUAAAACUGCAUAGCUAGAGUACUGUAGAGGAUAGUGGAAUUUCCAGUGUAGCGGUGAAAUGCGUAGAUAUUGGAAGGAACACCAGUGGCGAAGGCGACUAUCUGGGCAGAUACUGACACUGAGACACGAGAGCAUGGGGAGCAAACAGG